GACGAACGCUGGCGGCGUGCUUAACACAUGCAAGUCGAGCGGUAAGGCCCUUUCGGGGGUACGACGAGCGGCGAACGGGUGAGUAACACGUGGGUGACCUGCCCUCAGCUCUGGGAUAAGCCUGGGAAACCGGGUCUAAUACUGGAUAUGACUCCAUGACGCAUGUUGUGGGGUGGAAAGCCUUGUGCGGCUGAGGAUGGGCCCGCGGCCUAUCAGCUUGUUGGUGGGGUGAUGGCCUACCAAGGCGACGACGGGUAGCCGGCCUGAGAGGGCGACCGGCCACACUGGGACUGAGACACGGCCCAGACUCCUACGGGAGGCAGCAGUGGGGAAUCUUGCGCAAUGGGCGAAAGCCUGACGCAGCGACGCCGCGUGAGGGAUGACGGCCUGGUU
rnacentral:rRNA from 1 species